GGAGGGAUCAUUACCGAGUUUACAACUCCCAAACCCCUGUGAACAUACCUAUAAUUUGCCUCGGCGGACUCAACGACGGUGCUCCGAGAAAUCGGUCGCCGCUCGCUGCCAGAGGAACCCCAAACUCUAUGUAUUCUUGUGGAUCUUCUGAGUAAAACAAAACAAAUAAAUCAAAACUUUCAACAACGGAUCUCUUGGUUCUGGCAUCGAUGAAGAACGCAGCGAAAUGCGAUAAGUAAUGUGAAUUGCAGAAUUCAGUGAAUCAUCGAAUCUUUGAACGCACAUUGCGCCCGCCAGUAUUCUGGCGGGCAUGCCUGUUCGAGCGUCAUUUCAACCCUCAAGCCCCCGGGCUUGGUGUUGGGGAUCGGCGAUAGUCGCCGUCCCCCAAAUCUAGUGGCGGUCUCGCUGUAGCCUCCAUUGCGUAGUAGCUAACACCUCGCAACUGGAACGCGGCGCGGCCAAGCCGUUAAACCCCCAACUUCUGAAUGUUGACCUCGGAUCAGGUAGGAAUACCCGCUGAACUUAAGCAU
rnacentral:rRNA from 1 species